rnacentral:rRNA from 1 species
UGGGGAAUAUUGGACAAUGGGCGCAAGCCUGAUCCAGCCAUGCCGCGUGAGUGAUGAAGGCCCUAGGGUUGUAAAGCUCUUUCACCGGUGAAGAUAAUGACGGUAACCGGAGAAGAAGCCCCGGCUAACUUCGUGCCAGCAGCCGCGGUAAUACGAAGGGGGCUAGCGUUGUUCGGAUUUACUGGGCGUAAAGCGCACGUAGGCGGACUAUUAAGUAAGGGGUGAAAUCCCGGGGCUCAACCCCGGAACUGCCUUUGAUACUGGUAGUCUUAAGUUCCAGAGAGGUGAGUCGAAGUCCUGGUGUAGAGGUGAAAUUCGUAGAUAAUCGGAGCACCACGAGUGGCAAAAGCGGCUCUCUGGCUCGAUACUGACGCUGAGGUGCGAAAGCGUGGAGAGCAAACAGG